rnacentral:ncRNA from 1 species
AAUAAUGUUCUCUUUUUAGGUGCUUCUUUAAAUUAGAAGAUAAUAGGGAAUCAGGUGAAAUUCCUGAACGGGUCCGCCACUGUUAAUCAGUAGGCCGAUUAAUUACCACUCACUCAUCAAUAGUGCUGGGGAAGGUAAAUCGGUAAAGCUGUAAAGUCAGGAGACCUGCCUGAAAGGAUGGCAGCCA